rnacentral:rRNA from 2 species
AUGCAAGUCGAGCGGUAGCACAGAGAGCUUGCUCUCGGGUGACGAGCGGCGGACGGGUGAGUAAUGUCUGGGAAACUGCCUGAUGGAGGGGGAUAACUACUGGAAACGGUAGCUAAUACCGCAUAACGUCGCAAGACCAAAGUGGGGGACCUUCGGGCCUCAUGCCAUCAGAUGUGCCCAGAUGGGAUUAGCUGGUAGGUGGGGUAACGGCUCACCUAGGCGACGAUCCCUAGCUGGUCUGAGAGGAUGACCAGCCACACUGGAACUGAGACACGGUCCAGACUCCUACGGGAGGCAGCAGUGGGGAAUAUUGCACAAUGGGCGCAAGCCUGAUGCAGCCAUGCCGCGUGUGUGAAGAAGGCCUUCGGGUUGUAAAGCACUUUCAGCGGGGAGGAAGGCGGUGAGGUUAAUAACCUCAUCGAUUGACGUUACCCGCAGAAGAAGCACCGGCUAACUCCGUGCCAGCAGCCGCGGUAAUACGGAGGGUGCAAGCGUUAAUCGGAAUUACUGGGCGUAAAGCGCACGCAGGCGGUCUGUCAAGUCGGAUGUGAAAUCCCCGGGCUCAACCUGGGAACUGCAUUCGAAACUGGCAGGCUAGAGUCUUGUAGAGGGGGGUAGAAUUCCAGGUGUAGCGGUGAAAUGCGUAGAGAUCUGGAGGAAUACCGGUGGCGAAGGCGGCCCCCUGGACAAAGACUGACGCUCAGGUGCGAAAGCGUGGGGAGCAAACAGGAUUAGAUACCCUGGUAGUCCACGCUGUAAACGAUGUCGAUUUGGAGGUUGUGCCCUUGAGGCGUGGCUUCCGGAGCUAACGCGUUAAAUCGACCGCCUGGGGAGUACGGCCGCAAGGUUAAAACUCAAAUGAAUUGACGGGGGCCCGCACAAGCGGUGGAGCAUGUGGUUUAAUUCGAUGCAACGCGAAGAACCUUACCUGGUCUUGACAUCCACAGAACUUUCCAGAGAUGGAUUGGUGCCUUCGGGAACUGUGAGACAGGUGCUGCAUGGC